rnacentral:rRNA from 1 species
CCUACGGGAGGCAGCAGUGGGGAAUAUUGGGCAAUGGGCGAAAGCCUGACCCAGCCACGCCGCGUGAGUGAUGAAGGCCUUCGGGUCGUAAAGCUCUGUGGGGAGGGACGAAACAACCUCGGGAAUAAUACCCCGGGGUCCUGACGGUACCUCCUUAGCAAGCACCGGCUAACUCCGUGCCAGCAGCCGCGGUAAUACGGAGGGUGCAAACGUUGCUCGGAAUUACUGGGCGUAAAGCGCACGUAGGCGGUCUGCUGUGUCCGAGGUAAAAGCCCUCGGCUCAACCGAGGAAGUGCAUUGGAAACUGGCAGGCUCGAGUACGGAAGAGGGGGGUGAAAUUCCUGGUGUAGCAGGGAAAUGCGUAGAGAUCAGGAGGAACACCGAUGGCGAAGGCAGCCCCCUGGGUUGACACUGACGCUCAUGCACGAAAGCGUGGGGAGCAAACAGGAUUAGAUACCUUUGUAGU